ACAAAAGCAAGCCGCCAUUCCUCUCACUCAGAGGCUUUUCUGGCAAAGGGUCUCUCAGCGAGUCCAAGCAAGUCUCCCAAAACCCUCAUUUCUCUCGAUUUCUGCUCGGAAAUCGCCAUUUCUUUCUUCAGUUCCAACCAUUUCAUCAAUUGAUGGCGAAAGGAGCUUCGGAAUUCUCGUUUCUCAGACGUGCAGAUUUUGAUUCUUUUCGCAUGUUUUCAAGCUGUUAGAAGCCUUAUCAUUUAGAUCCAGAUCCAAAUCCAUUCUCUCUCUCUCUCUCUCUCUCUCUCUCUCUCUCUCUCUCUCUCUCUCUCUCUCGAUUGGAAGAAGGAGAGCUACUAGAAGACCUCCUUAUCAUUCAGAUCCAGAUCCAAAUCAGUUCAAGGUAAGCUCAAUUCUUUUCAUUUUGCUCCUUCCGCUCCUUUUCUCUCGAUCUCAAAUUUGAUCAGAUUAGGAGAAUAGAGAAAGAUCUGUUAUGUAUUAUAUUUUUUAGGAGCAUGCACUUCCUGCAUCCCACUUCCCUCUGCUAGCAGAAACUGAUCCUCAUUGGAGAUGGAUGUGAUUCAUCUUCAAUUUAGAUAAUUUUGCAUUUGGGAGCGGUUGUGGAUAACUAGCUGUAGCAUGACAGGAGUGAUCUAUUUUUAAUUAACCUUGUAGAUCUUAGAUUUAUCUGUCUUCCCAGCUAUUUUUUUCCCUGGUUUUCUUCCUAGAGCUAUGCCAAAUUUCUAGUUGUUGUGCUGCUCUGCAAAUUGAAAUCUUCCAUUUCCUUACUGCUUUGACUCUGUUUUUUGGUGAUAUGUUUUAUUUUUGUAUUAUUUUUGUCUGUUUCUAUAUCUAUCUAUCUAUACAUACAUACACACCUACCUAACUCAUGCCAUGCAUAAAUAUACACGAUACAGACACAUUUUGGUGAUGUGAGUUAUUUUUGUAUUAUUUGUCUAAUCUUUAGAAAAUUAGGACUGUCGAGCUCGAUGGGAAGACGAUCAAGCUGUAGAUUGGCAUGGAAAUGGAUGGUAAGUCAUCUGAAGGUAAGGAAAAGGGACCCAUGAAGAGAUCAAAAGGAAGUUUAGGCAGCUUGAAUAUGCUUAUGGGCAAGGAUAACAGUGAGCCGGGUAAAACAUCUGGAGCAUCUGGGAAUGGAUUUGUCUCCCAAAGUGGUGACAGUGCAAGUGAAGGUUCCAGUGAAGGAAGUACAUAUAUGGAAGUUUUCAACUUCAGUGAAAGAUGAGUGCAUAUAUGACUUUGACACACAAUAGAAGGCAAGCGGUGGGAAGGAUUCUUUGGAAGCUGAGGUGUCUAAGAAUGGGAGUUCCGUCCGUGGUCCUCAGAAUGGUGUGGCUCGCAGUCCAUCACAAACAAUGUUGAAUCAAACAAUGCCUGUCAUGCCAAUGGCAACACUUGUGCUCUUCACUACAGUCCGAGUUUCUUUAGGAUUAACAUAUGAUGUAUCCUUUGAGCUAAGCCAGUUUGAUAGGUUGAAACUCAGGUGGUAUGUGGUCUCAGUAACUUCAACUCCUGGCAAGGUAACAAUCUAGUGUACAUCCAUGUGCUGACUUAAAUUCUUGUAUUCUCUAGUCUGUUUCUCUCUAAUUCUUU